UUGUCUCUGUUGUGUUGUUGUUGCAUUGCCAAGUUUUCUUCUUUUGUGCCAAAUCCUUUCACACUGAGCCCCCUUUCCCUGACGCUCACAAUCUCCUCCAUGCUACUUCUAUUUUCCUAUACAAGCAGAUGGGGAUCGAGGGAAUUAGCCCUGAAUUUUUCAUUCUUGAAGCGUCACUUGUCAUGAAAGGUGAGUGCUUUCUUGACCUAAUUCAGAUUCAGAUAAAUCACGUUGGAUUCUUGCAUCAGUUGAAGAAAGCAUUCACAUUCAUGACAAGUGAUUUCACAAGAAUAUGUCAACCGAAUUACUUACGCCACUUUCAUAAGGCUUUGUCAACAAAGCCUGAUAUGGUAAUGUACAGCACAAUUAUUCACACUAUAUUCAAAGGUAGAGUUGCAGACGACGGUUAUGGUUUGUAUUCUGAAAUUAUUGCCAAGGGAAUUUUUCAUAAUCUUUAGAUCUAUAAUGGUCUAGUUUAUGGCUUUUUUAUUGCUGAUAAUUUACUAGAAGCUAUUGGUUUUGUAAAUGAAAUGAUAUUGAACCGUCUCGGACUGAGAAGGUGGAUAGCCGGAAUGUGAUCGAUCCGGCUUUAGAAGAACCUUAAUCAAAAUAAUGAUUAAUAUUAAGUUGAGAUUGGGUCUUCACCGAUCCAUCGGUACACCAACUAUCUGUAUAUAGACAGAAGAGGAGGAAAGGGAAAAAAAAGAUGGUCGGAGUAUUAUUUUGACAGUUACCGCUUACAGUAACGAUUAAUGGACUAACUAAAGAGGGGAUGAGGCCAUGAAUCUUAUGCACGGAGUAAUAUGGUUCCUGAGAUAGUGAUUUAUACUUCUCUUAUCGAUGGUUUAUGCAAAUGUGAAAGAAUCUCUUUAUUGAUGAGAUGCAUGAUUGAAAUAAAAAACCAGAUAGCUUAUCUGUAUUGUAGUAAUGAUUUUGAUGUAUUGUUGUGUUUUACAUCUAUUACCAUAGAAAUUGUAGUAGGGUGAAAGACAAGAUCGCAUUAAUUUAUAGUAACCAAAAUAAUGUUAUUCUUCCUGUUUC